UGGGGAAUUUUGGACAAUGGGCGCAAGCCUGAUCCAGCCAUGCCGCGUGAGUGAAGAAGGCCUUCGGGUUGUAAAGCUCUUUCGGUGGGGAAGAAAUUGCUUCGAUUAAUACUCGGAGUAGAUGACGGUACCCGCAUAAGAAGCACCGGCUAACUACGUGCCGGCAGCCGCGGUAAUACGUAGGGGGCGAGCGUUAAUCGGAAUUACUGGGCGUAAAGCGUGCGCAGGCGGUUGUGUAAGUCAGAUGUGAAAUCCCCGGGCUCAACCUGGGAACUGCAUUUGAGACUGCACGGCUAGAGUGUAGCAGAGGGGGGUAGAAUUCCACGUGUAGCAGUGAAAUGCGUAGAGAUGUGGAGGAAUACCGAUGGCGAAGGCAGCCCCCUGGGUUACUACUGACGCUCAUGCACGAAAGCGUGGGGAGCAAACA
rnacentral:rRNA from 1 species